GCCAGCAAAAGCUAGUUGAGUUCUUCUAACAUCACACCACUCUAAGCUCCUCCUCUUGUCCCUCUUCCAGUGUUAAGGACUCUUGUGAUUACACUGAGCCCACUCGGCUGCUCUGGAACGAUUUCCUUAGUUUAAGAUUUUGGCAGAAAACUCCAUUCUCAGGGGAGGCUAGUUGAGUUGAAACUUCAAAUAGAAUCUGAGUCACACACGUCUGGUAACAUGAGAGAGACGAGGACGGGUGUACAAGUACAGAAGAUGAUGGCAAGACAGCUACUUAAUUUCCCCCCCUCUCCAUCUUCAUCAGGAAAUAGUCUUUCCUCCCCCACUUUUAUUAUUUUUUUUUUUAAACAAUGUAUUUCACCGA